rnacentral:lncRNA from 1 species
GUCUGAAAUAGCAAGUAUGGCUGAAUGAGAAGAGUGUCGACGAAGCUGCUGUGUUCAGAGGAGGAAGUUGUAGUGUAAUUUACUUUCCCGGUUUCCAUUUCUUUUUGGUGGCCGAUGAUGUGGAUGAAAUCAAUUGCUAAAGCCUACAAGUUGUCGUUUCUACUUUGACAUGUCUUCUUCUUUCCAAGUAAGUACAGGGAAAGAGACUUGAGAGAAAAAAUUGAGUGCAUGUUCGGCUAUUACAUUCCGAAUCCAUGGCAGAC